rnacentral:lncRNA from 1 species
GGCCGAGAACGGCCCUUGCUGCCACCAACAUGGAGACUUUGUACCGUGUCCCGUUCUUAGUGCUCGAAUGUCCCAACCUGAAGCUGAAGAAGCCGCCCUGGUUGCACAUGCCGUCGGCCAUGACUGUGUAUGCUCUGGUGGUGGUGUCUUACUUCCUCAUCACCGGAGAGUAAAUGGACAAUAUAUUAUGGAAGGACUUGCAUCCAGCUUCCUAUUUACAAUGGGAGGUUUAGGUUUCAUAAUCCUGGACCGAUCGAAUGCACCAAAUAUCCCAAAACUCAAUAGAUUCCUUCUUCUGUUCAUUGGAUUCGUCUGUGUCCUAUUGAGUUUU